UGUAAGCGUAUACCGAAGUUGUUGCAGUUAAAACGCUCGUAGUCGGAAUUUGGCAGUUCCGGAUGUGUGCACGUCGUGUGCGCACUUCGCGGGGAUUGCUUUUGUGGUCUUGCGUAGGAUGAGGCACUUUUAUUAGUGAACGUCCUCACGCAACCACUUUUUACUGUGAGAAAAUCAGAGUGCUCAAAGCAGGCAUUUGCCGUGAAUGUAUUAGCAUGGAAUAAUAGAAUAGGACUUGGUUCUAUUUUGUUGGUUUGUUGGGACUGAGUAAUGAUUAAGAGGGACAGUUGGGGGCAUUUGUAUUUCGGUGCUAGAGGUGAAAUUCUUAGAUUACCGAAAGACAAACUGCUGCGAAAGCGUCUGCCAAGGAUGUUUUCAUUGA
rnacentral:rRNA from 1 species